GGUUUGAUUGAUAGACUCUCGAUCUAUGUAACUGAAUAAUAUUGUACUUCUUAUUGAAUCAAAAGAGAGAUACAACUUUGAUUGUGAGAAGUAGUCAAGCUCUCAUAACGAACUAAGUACAAAUCACCAGUCUCAUAACGACUGUGAAGUAAAGACUCAUAACGUCUAAUACAUUCAAGAUCAAAGCAUAAUCAGCUCAGCUCAACUACCACUUCUAUUUAUACUUCUACUCUUCACUCAAUAACCGUAACUGCAAAGACUCCACUUCAAAUAGAAGUUUUCCCUUCCUUUCUUUAUUUUUAAUCUUCACUUCAACACUCCUUCUCUUCCACGUCUAACACUUCUUUGCCUCUCUUCUUUCGAUAAUAAACCUUCUUGAGUCUAUCAAUACUUCCCCCAACGAAAUCCAGUUUUCCCUCAAGCUGGUACGAAGGAAACACUGCUUGAACUCCUCAUAAGAGACCCACGAAUCCUCCAAAGCUGGUUUAUCGAGCCAAUGAACCAACAAUUCCAACUCUCCUUUGCUUCCAAAACGUUUAUCCAAAAUAAUCUCAGGUACCACUACCUCUUCUGCCUCCAUAAUACAGUUAGGAGGAAGCGUAUCACUCAAAUCUUGUUGCCCAACUGCCAACUUUAAUUGAGAAAUGUGAAAAAAGGAUGAAUACGAGCCGCUGGUGGUAGUAACAACUUAUAAGCCGUUGCACCAAUGCGUUCCACAACUCGAUAAGGGUCAUAGAACUUCGCAGCUAGCUUUUGACAGAAACGUCUGGCCAAUGUCUUCUGUCGAUAAGGUUGUAAUUUCAAACACCAUAUCUCCCACAUUUAACACCACAUCCCUUCUCUC
rnacentral:lncRNA from 1 species